UUUUCAGCCCCUUCUUUUUGAUAUUUCAAUUUGGCAUUUAUAAAGAAAACUGACAGUCUUCCUGAGAGAAAGCAAAUUAAAUGUCCACGUACGUAAUGCACUUAAACACAGAAAUAACAUGGCAGUUAGUAAAAAAGGACAGAAUGUUUGGAGGCAUAUAUAAGCAGUUGUAUAUUUCCAAAGUAAUCUUCUAAAUUGUUAGCGAUGCUAUGUCUGGAACAACUUGCAAGGAUUUUUAUUACAAACCAAGAUACUGCGUUUUCCCACUAAUUAGCUCCAAACUACUCUCCAUUUUCCAGGUUCCUGUGAACAUCACGUUACAUACCAAAUGCUGGGAUAUUAUUAGGAAACAGUGUGGAACCCAUCAAAUAAGAGCUUAUUUUUCGUUUAAAUCUCAACAUGCUGCAUUUGGUUCCACACGAUGCUUAAAUGGAAACUUAUUUACAUCUUUGUUGCUGUCUCCACAGCAUGUAAAAAACAAAAAGAAUCCUCUCCAAAGUGACUGGAGUCCUUGGUGACUGGUACUCCAUAAUUGGCUGCCUGCAUGAACAUCAUUCAGGCUAACGAGAGAGCGGGCAGGAGCUUCUGCUGCUGCCCGCGCGAACACACACACACACACACACACACACAGAUUUUUUUCAAAAUCUCCUCUGUACACAUUUUUAAACUCAAGAACAACUGCCACCCACACGCUCCAGUACGAUUACUCAAGAGAGAAAAGAUGCAGUGAUUUGUGUUUUUUCAGUUUGGUUUGAAGAAGUCGAGCAAAAGAGAUUUAAAGAAAUAAAAGCAGCUGAACGUCUGAUGUAAAGCAUCGUGCCUGAAGAUAUUCACGUAUUUAACAGGAAGCAGGUUUCAGCCCCCCCACAUCCUCGACCUUCAUCACUACGGAACAAAGUAAUUGAUACCACGCGUGUUGAUUAAACUUUCUUCUGCUGACAAACACCCCGAGUAGGCGGUUAAUCUUUCUAAAAGGGGACAUUUACGAAUUAGGGGGCGGAGACAGAAAACACCUAUAGUUUCACUUCCAUUCCAAAAUUAUUUUCGACACUGCACAAAACGUGUGUUCACAGUCGCAGUUUUGCACUGCUUACCGCCCCAAAACUGGCUGUGGUGCUACGGAAAAAACCCUUAAUGCUAAAGAUAGCAUUUGACAGCUCACGCGUCUUUUUGUAUUAUUAUUAGUGUCAUUGCUAGCAUCAUCACUGCACUCCUCAACUGAUUGGCUGCUCCUUCAGAAGUAAUUGCUGUCUUUGAUCGAAGUUCAAUGAAUGAUGUUUGAAAGCGGUACGCCUCUAUGGCGUGCACUGCUAGCAAGGAGAAACGCAAAUUUAACGGCGACAAUGCGAACACAACCCCGCAAUCUAAAUGUGAACCACAACAAAACAGCAGAGAAAAUUGGAACUCGAAUUUAACAUCAGUUGUGAAAUACUGUUGAAUUUCUACUCGGAAGACCUACGAUGCUAUGCUAACAGGCUAAAAAUUAGUGGCUUCUUCUACGCUGCUCUUUCUGGCAUUGAAUGUUGCACUGCCCCCAGUGGCGAACUACAGGUAACCCUCUGUGCACAUCCAGAAGUAAGAGUCAGUGUGUUUCACAUGGUUCAUUUGCACAAACUCACCAAAAACAGGAACUCUUAUUUAUGACUUUGUACUCUUGAGUUCCGGCUUUGUUUCCCCACUAACAAUAAGGCAACACACAGUCUUAAUUAAUAACUGGAUAAUCAAUGUCAAGUUUGAGCUGUUUGUAUAACAAACACUUGGCAGAAAUGUAAAAAAACUAAAACCCAAAAGAUUUCUGUCUUCUCAAAGGAUCGCAGCAGAAUUUGAUGUCACAAACUGGGACGAUAUCUCACGUCUCCGCAAUCAGGCACAACUUUAAAAAAAAGCCCAUGUAUACAGAAUAAAACCCACCAAAAAACACAGGUGUUUAAAAUGUUGAUUGCAAGAGAAGAACUCACACAUCAUGACAGAGGAAGGAAACCUUACAGACUUUGAGAUUAAGUGUAUUUUUUUUUUUUGUUGUUGCUGCAGAGCAGCAGAUUGUGAAUGUUUACAAAACCGAUCAAACAAGCAGCAACUCUCCCAUUUCGAAUGGAACAAAAGCAGUUUGCUCCUUCACGCACCAGGUUGGCUGGCAGAGUUCCACACAUGGAUCUAACGGUUUUUUAUGGGUGGAAUUUUCCAUGUAACUAAGGUUCAAUAAAUUUGGAAUGACCACCAAGUCAGAUAUAAUUUAGCAAAUACACUUUCAGCCACUGCACAGUAAAACCUGGACACAUCUUCAUCCCACUAAGACUGUUACAAAAGGGUAUAUAACUGUUGAUGCUGCUAUCAAUAAUUAGUAAUUAUUAUUCUUGCAGCCAUACAAACUGGGAAUUGUUGAUGAAUCGCGGUUUUAUCGUGUUUUAUAUUAUGAUACUGGCCGGUCCAAAGAGAAACUGAGUGAGGACAGCGUUUCGACUUUUACAGGAACUGUGUCCAGCACAUUAGUAGCCUGUAACUGCAACAGUCAUGACUGAUUUGUACUCCAUAAAUAUCAGAAGGUGUAAACGACAAUACUGAGUCAGAAUAAAAUAGAUAUUUUUGUGGCCAGUUUGGAGCCUUUCGUAUGUGAUCAAAUAAAAUUAACUAAAAAGGGAAAAAAACAGACGGCUAAUCCUAUAUAGGCCCUGAGGCUCGCUGGUGCCUGUGCUUAUCUUGGAUAUUGCUGAGUAAUGGAGACCCUUUAGAUGGGACUCCAGUCCAUCACAGGUCACUUCGCCAGCCAAGGCUGAUACCCGUUUACAGCUGGGUGGAGUGGAACAACGUAGUGUUGAAGUGGCCUAAAUUAAUUUGAAUCUGAGCUUACAAAUUCGAUCACUGAUGGACAGUGUCGUGCAAAAAUCCAUAAAGACGCUGCAAACAAUGAAAAACUCUGAAAUAUAAAAUAGCUUUCGAUAAAGUGCUCAUCGCAAAAGCGUAACUGAUAAAUAUCUGGUGUGACUACCAUUUACCUUCAAACUGAAUUCAACUGAAGGUUUUAUAAGAUCAUGUUGAUCAGUUCAUUAUUGAAAAUUUCCUCUGUGGAAUCAGUUUUCGGGUUGCAAAGCUACAAAAAAAUCCAUCACCUGAAAAAGACAAUCUUUAAUAUUCUCGACAAAAUUUGUCAUUUGUUCUUAUGAUUAGUAUUUUUGGACUUACAUUUACACAAAAAAGGGGCAUCUUCAUGGAUGAACGAUUGGUUUUUGCACAAUACUUCAUAGGGGUGGAAUGUACUACCUCCACGAUACGAUAUACCCAUCUUGAUUCCAUAUUUAUCACCAUACAUGGUUAUAUUGUUCUUCAAUUAUGUAGAAAGUGAUUUGUGGUGAAUCUUUAUAGAAACAAAUUAUUCUUAAGUAUAACUUAUAAUCCUUGAUGCUAUUUGUUUGCUGUCUGCAUAUGGUAUUUUAUAAAUCAUUUAUGGUUCUUCUGCAAGAUGUUAUUUCUUCCAGGCAGUAAUGCCUUUUUAUGGUAUCGCGAUACUCAUUAAAAAAAGAUACAAUUUGAUACAGACCCUACAACGCAAUUAUCAAAAUACACUGUGUAUCAUCGUACCACUUGUACUUUGUGUUUGCUUCAUAUAAUCAACAAUUCCAUACAAAUUACUUGGCAUUACUCUGAAAUUACACCACCUUUUGAAAACUAAAUCUGGAUUUCUUCCUUCAAGAAACACUCCUGAGAUGAGCUGGAUGUCCUGUGCCCCCAGGAGGAGGCGUCAGUUUCGGAAUUUAAUGGUAAUUUGAUGUUAUUCCUGACCCAGUAUUCGUGCGUUUGGAUUUUCUAUGUAAGUGCAUUAAUUCCAACUAUUUUUCCAUUAUAAAUAUGUGGGUUUCGGGUUGGUUUGUACCUGAAUUAGUCUGAAUUAGUGGCUCUCUGGUUCUUACUGUGCUUUAAGUGUGUGCACACGUGUUGUGAGGUAGUCCCAAGUU